rnacentral:lncRNA from 1 species
AGGCUGUGAUGAUCCACUUGGUAAAGUAAUUCCACUGGGUAUCUUUGUUAGCCUUCAGACAACAAUUCUGACGGCUAAAGAACCAAACAGGACAGGCAAAAAAAAAAAAAAACCCAACAACAAACAAACAAAAAAUCAAACAAUUUUGAUACCUUCUUCUUAAUAUUACAGUUUUAUGUUUGCUGAGGUGUUUUCAUGAUGUUUUAUUUAUUCUUGAUCUAAAGUAAUAGUAUGAAAACGUCCUCCACCACUUGUCACUAUCAGCUAAGGAUAAAUAUUGUUGCUAAUAAGCAGGUAUUCAUUUAACUAUAGAAGUAAGAAUAUUAUACAAUUCUUUUGUGAGGUGAAGGUGAAGACCUCCAUUUAGAGAGCAGACAGGCAGUACUAACAGUCUUUCAGUCAGAUCCAGUUUUUUGAUAAAUUGCAAAAUAGUGAAGGAAGAUGUUUACUUUUGUGAGUGUAUUGGGGGCGGGCAUUGUCACAGUUUUCCUUUCCAUAGAAGUCACCACACAUAACAGCUGUGAUGUUGGUUUGUGGACACCUCUCUGGGUAUUUCCUUGGUGCUCUUUCCUGAACUUGGUGUUUGUGACUGAUGCUCAUCGUCUCCAUGCGAAGGAGUGGACACUACCCACAGUGGAAAAGUAUUGGUAGAGUGACCAGGGCUUCUAACACCCUUACCCUCAUCUCCUCUUAAGGUAAUGUCAGUAAGUUAUUUGUCUACCCCUCACCCUCAGUAACUCUUGCUUCCUCCCAUGGGGGUGGGGAUUCACUGUUCUCCUGCACUGCACCCCAGUUCCUUGUUCACAUUCCAGGAAUGUUUUCUAUUUGUAUCCUACGCCCUAUCAACAACCGCCAUAUUAUAAUAUUGCAAGCAAUCACAAACUAUAGUCUCUUUAACUCUAAUGUAUAUUAAGUACUCUAUUAUCCUCAACAAUGGCCAAUAUUACAUGUAUUAUUAUAUUAGUUAUUAUUAUUUAUUACAACAGUGAACUUUGUUUCAAAUACUGAGCUUCAGUAAAGACUCAAGUUGCAUUUAUUUAUAUUUCCUAUCACUUUAUAUCUUCACUCAAAGACAAAUAUCUUUUAAAGUGUGUGUAUAUAUAGAGACAAAUAUUGUUCUUUUAGUCUGUUAGCAUUACUU